AAUUGGCCUCAGGCACGUUAGCUGGGGGAAAUCCUACUGCACAGCAUCCUCCCCACACUUUGAAUGUUGUCAUAUAGUAGUGAUUUGUUUAAAAUGAACAUCAAGGACAAUGAGAGGGAGACAAGGGAAUAAGAUGUCAUAAAAGGGCAGCACACCACCUGAGGGAUGAAUAUGGAAAGUUGAAGGGAAAUGAUUGUUGUUGCCAGGCAGCCACAUGCAGUUCUGCCUUGUUGCCUUGGUAACAAUGGUGUGGAAGUAGUUACAGAGGGAUCUAGUUCUUCUUUCUAACAUUGAUUAGAGAUACCAGCCCUUUCUACCUGCUGUCUCCUCAAUGUCUCAGAACAGCUCCAGCGAGCUUAUUUGUGCAGUGGAUUGAAGUCUGGACUGACAACUUCAAAUUGCCGUACAAUGGAGGAAUCUGUAUCAUCUGUUGCAGAAGAUUUUAUCCAGAACCCUAAAUCAAAGAACUUAAGUGACCCAUGGUCGUAUGGGCCCUUGCUGGUAAUGUUCUUGUUCUACCUCACAAUUGUGGUUUUCUUACUCUUUGCAAUUUUUUUCAACCUCUGCCUGCGAUGUCUGACUCCCAAAUCUCAAAAAAAUGAAGCAAAUUAACUUUUAUGAAAAGAGAAGAAAUUUGUCUGCCAAUCCCUGCCAGAAAGCCAUCACCUCUACCCAAAGUCAAGUCCUCUGGUCAAUGACCUCCACCGAGGAUACUGUGAGAUUCUAAAAUAAUAGAAGUUGAAGAGAUCGUUUUUGGAGGGUUGGACAAGAUGAUUCUCUGAGAAUGGAGAAUGUUCUGUGGUAUCUGGCCUGUAGUCUUAUGUCUUCCUGCUCCAGGAUAAGUCCUUCAAUGUCUUCACUAAAGAUGUGGGGAGAGAUGAGGGAAGAGGAGAAUAUAAUGCAGGAAAAAUCACAUCUAGCAAGCUCCUCCACCCUGGCCUUCCACCUAGCCACAUUUCUCCUGUUUUAGACUACUUCUAUUGAAGACUCUAAAAGGCUGAGUACAGCAGUUAAAGAUCAAGACAACACAUCUUGGCAGGGAUGGUUAGGGGCAAAAAACAAAUAAAACCAAUUCCUUUAAAUUCUUCAAA